rnacentral:rRNA from 1 species
UACAGAGGUGGCAAGCGUUGUUCGGAAUUACUGGGCGUAAAGGGCGCGUAGGCGGUCUUCUAAGUCUUGUGUGAAAUCCCUCGGCUCAACUGAGGAACUGCACGGGAUACUGGAAGACUUGAGUUCGGGAGAGGGAAGCGGAAUUCCGGGUGUAGCGGUGAAAUGCGUAGAUAUCGGAAGGAACAUCAGUGGCGAAAGCGGCUCACUGGUCCGGUACUGACGCUGAGGUGCGAAAGCGUGGGGAGCAAACAGG